AAACUUAGGCUAACACA
rnacentral:tRNA from 3 species